AAGAAAGCACCGGCUAACUCCGUGCCCAGCAGCCCGCGGUAAUACGGAGGGUGCAAGCGUUAAUCGGAAUUACUGGGCGUAAAGCGCGCGUAGGCGGCUUGAUAAGCCGGUUGUGAAAGCCCCGGGCUCAACCUGGGAACGGCAUCCGGAACUGUCAGGCUAGAGUGCAGGAGAGGAAGGUAGAAUUCCCGGUGUAGCGGUGAAAUGCGUAGAGAUCGGGAGGAAUACCAGUGGCGAAGGCGGCCUUCUGGACUGACACUGACGCUGAGGUGCGAAAGCGUGGGUAGCAAACAGGAUUAGAUACCCUGGUAGUCCACGCCGUAAACGAUGUCGACUAGCCGUUGGGGUCCUCGAGACCUUUGUGGCGCAGUUAACGCGAUAAGUCGACCGCCUGGGGAGUACGGCCGCAAGGUUAAAACUCAAAUGAAUUGACGGGGGCCCGCACAAGCGGUGGAGCAUGUGGUUUAAUUCGAUGCAACGCGAAGAACCUUACCUACUCUUGACAUCGAGCGAACUUUCCAGAGAUGGAUUGGUGCCUUCGGGAACGCUCAGACAGGUGCUGCAUGGCCGUCGUCAGCUCGUGUUGUGAAAUGUUGGGUUAAGUCCCGUAACGAGCGCAACCCUUGUCCCUAUUUGCCAGCGAUUCGGUCGGGAACUCUAGGGAGACUGCCGGUGACAAACCGGAGGAAGGUGGGGACGACGUCAGGUCAUCAUGGCCCUUACGAGUAGGGCUACACACGUGCUACAAUGGCCGGUACAAUGGGCUGCAAUCCCGCGAGGGGGAGCCAAUCUCAUAAAGCCGGUCUCAGUCCGGAUCGGAGUCUGCAACUCGACUCCGUGAAGUCGGAAUCGCUAGUAAUCGUGCAUCAGAAUGGCACGGUGAAUACGUUCCCGGGCCUUGUACACACCGCCCGUCACACCAUGGGAGUGGACUGCACCAGAAGUGGUUAGCCUAACUUCGGAGGGCGAUCACCACGG
rnacentral:rRNA from 1 species